CACAAGUUUGUCACCAAUGGUAUUCAUCCAUUUAUUUUAUCUACCCGCAUUCUUAUAACUAAACCUAAUGAAUACCAAACAUUGGGUACUAGUUAUCUGGUAAUAAAAAACUUCAACUUUGGGGCAAGAAAGGAUGUCUCCAAUAAGUAAAUUCUAUGACAACCAGGGCUAUAGACCCAGUUUCAAAAAAAAAAACAAUUCUCAGCACCUACAUGUACCUCCAAGUGAUCCCACAGUCCUCUAGUCUCUGCACAUACCCACACCUAACAUGCAAACAAUACACACAUAAAUGAAUUUUUAAAAACUAGAAAUUAGGGAAACAAUAUAUUAGCACACUAGUAUGUGAAAGAGUGCUUCUCAAUCCAAAUUAACACAUCAAAUAGCAUGUCAAGAGUUCAUAUGCAGGCCUAAGAGUUCCCACACAUAUACCAAGUGUAAUAAAACACUGCCCAAUAUUUAGAACAUUCAACCUUUAGAGCAUGCCUACUCCUUCAAUGCAGGCAGGUGAGUCUCUAAUACAGCCAUGAUUUCCUGCCUCUAGUAAGUCUGAAGAUGAAUUAUUUCAUCUCCAGGUGGCCAGUCUGGUAUGCAGAACAAGUAUACCAGGACAGCCUGGGCUACAAAAGGAAACCCAGUCUAGGGGAACUACGCUUCAGCACAAGCUUUAAGGUAUGACUUAGGGUAAUAGUUGAGAGAAGGGGGACACAACUCAGCAAGAAACCACUUACCAGUUACAGGUCUCAAUAUAUGUAACACCUUCAGUAAUCACCUUCUAUACAAAUGUAGAAAUAAUCUGUCUAUAAUCCCGGCACUGGGAAAACUGGUAACAAUUUCUAAUUUCUGGCUUUCUUAGCUGUCCUGACAGUGAACCGAGAUCAGCCUGCCUCUGCCCCUCAAGUGCUGGGAAUAAAGGUAUUCGCCAUCAUCCACCUAGGAGUCAUACUUUUAAAAUGUACACCUCAAUGCCAGAAGACAGCUAUAGUGUACUCAUAUAACUAAAAUAAAUCUUAAAAAAAAAACCUUUAGUGGAGGUAUAAAUCAAUGGUCAGCUCUUGUCCAACAUUAUGAAGACUGUAAUCUUAGUACACACAGCACAAAACACAUCCUUGCUCUAGGCAGUUUUAACUGUGACUGUUCUUUGUGACAGCAUCACCUAUAAAUAGCAAGUUCAUGCUAAAGAACCAUGCAAUUGGUUGGAUGUGAUAAUGCACCUCAUCUUUAAUCAGAGAAAAGUGAGACUUCUUUUAAACCAUGUUACAGCUGGGGGUCGGUGGUACACACCUUUAAUCACAAUACUAUGGAUGCAGAAGCAAACAGACCUCUGUUCAAGGUCAGCCUGGUCUACAAAGAAAAACCCUAUCUCAAAAAAAAUGGAAAAAAAAAUAAAAGCAUGAUACAAAAAUAACAUGUUUCGGUUUACUAUUUGUGGCACAUUCUGAGACAUGAUGCUUGCCUAUUUGGGGAAAUUCGCCUUUUUGGAGGGGGGUUGCAGGAUUGCAGUCCACGUUGGCCUUGAACUUCUGAUCCUCCUACCUCCACACCCAAGUACCAGAAAUAUAGAAAUCCAUAACCAUGCCCAACUGCUUUGGGUUUGUUAGCUUUGGGACAGGGUAUUACUAUUUAGCUCAAUCAAGCUGCAAGUCCUGCCUCCCCAUUGCUGGGAUUACCAAUGUUUUCAGUUCAACACACUAAAUUUGAAUAUUCAUCCUACGUUGCUAAAUAUGGGUUGUUAUUAAACACACCAAGGGAAAAGGCAACACCACUCACUGGCUUCACCAGUUCCCCUUUAUCGUUAAACUUCCCUUAAAAGAACUGCAGUCACGAGCCGGGCCUGGUGGCGCAGGCCUUUAAUCCCAGCACUCGGGAGGCAGAGGCAGG
rnacentral:lncRNA from 1 species